GACGAACGCUGGCGGCGCGCUUAACACAUGCAAGUCGAACGGAAAGGCCUGCUUUCCCUUGUGGAUUGCGGGUACUCGAGUGGCGAACGGGUGAGUAACACGUGAGUGAUCUGCCCCCAACUUGGGUAUAAGCCUGGGAAACUGGGUCUAAUUCCCGAUAGGACUGCAGGGUGGUGCCUGUGGUGGAAAACGAUUUUCUAGUGGUUGGGGAUGAGCUCGCGGCCUAUCAGCUUGUUGGUGGGGUAAUGGCCUACCAAGGCGGCGACGGGUAGCCGGCCUGAGAGGGUGGACGGCCACAUUGGGACUGAGAUACGGCCCAGACUCCUACGGGAGGCAGCAGUGGGGAAUAUUGCACAAUGGGCGGAAGCCUGAUGCAGCGACGCAGCGUGGGGGAUGACGGCCUUCGGGUGGUAAACUCCUUUCGACCGCGAGGAAGCCACCUGGUUGGAAGGGUGGUGACGGUAGUGGUAGAAGAAGCACCGGCUAACUACGUG
rnacentral:rRNA from 1 species